AAUUAGAAAGUAAACCCUUACAUUUAGUUUCGACCUAAAAAUUUGGCUUUCUAAGCCUCUAAUUU
rnacentral:tRNA from 1 species